rnacentral:rRNA from 1 species
GACGAACGCUGGCGGCGUGCUUAACACAUGCAAGUCGAACGGAAAGGCCCUGCUUUUGCGGGGUGCUCGAGUGGCGAACGGGUGAGUAACACGUGAGUAACCUGCCCUUGACUUUGGGGUAACUUCAGGAAACUGGGGCUAAUACCGGAUAGGAGCUCCUGCUGCAUGGUGGGGGUUGGAAAGUUUCGGCGGUUGGGGCUGGACUCGCGGCUUAUCCGCUUGUUGGUGGGGUAGUGGCUUACCAAGGCUUUGACGGGUAGCCGGCCUGAGAGGGGGACCGGCCACAUUGGGACUGAGAUACGGCCCAGACUCCUACGGGAGGCAGCAGUGGGGAAUAUUGCGCAAUGGGCGGAAGCCUGAUGCAGCAACGCCGCGUGCGGGAUGACGGCCUUCGGGUUGUAAACCGCUUUCGCCUGUGACGAAGCGUGAGUGACGGUAAUGGGUAAAGAAGCACCGGCUAACUACGUG